UACGGAGGAUGCGAGCGUUAUCCGGAUUUAUUGGGUUUAAAGGGUGCGUAGGCGGACUGUCAAGUCAACGGUAAAAUUGAGAGGCUCAACCUUUUCCCGCCGUUGAAACUGGUGGUCUUGAGUGGAUGAGAAGUACGCGGAAUGCGUGGUGUAGCGGUGAAAUGCAUAGAUAUCACGCAGAACUCCGAUUGCGAAGGCAGCGUACCGGCAUCCAACUGACGCUGAGGCACGAAAGCGUGGGGAUCAAACAGG
rnacentral:rRNA from 1 species